rnacentral:rRNA from 1 species
UACAGAGGUCUCAAGCGUUGUUCGGAUUCAUUGGGCGUAAAGGGUGCGUAGGCGGCGCGGUAAGUCGGGUGUGAAAUCUCGGGGCUUAACUCCGAAACUGCAUUCGAUACUGCCGUGCUUGAGGACUGGAGAGGAGACUGGAAUUCUCGGUGUAGCGGUGAAAUGCGUAGAUAUCGAGAGGAACACCUGCGGCGAAGGCGGGGUAGCUGGGCCGACACUGACGCUGAGGCGCGAAAGCCAGGGGAGCGAACGAG